rnacentral:rRNA from 1 species
UACAGAGGGUGCGAACGUUGCUCGGAAUUACUGGGCGUAAAGCGCGUGUAGGCGGGUGAUCAAGUCGGAUGUGAAAGCCCUGGCUCAACCCAGGAACUGCAUUCGAAACUGGUCGCCUAGAGUGUUGGAGAGGGAAGCGGAAUUCCUGGUGUAGAGGUGAAAUUCGUAGAUAUCAAAGCGGAACACCGGUGGCGAAGGCGGCCUUACUGGG